CGGGACACCGGACACCGGGACACCAGGACACCGGGACACUGGGACACGGGACACCGGGACACCGGGACACCGACCCCGCUCCAGUCGCGGGAGAGGCGUUCGGAAGCAGAGGGAGAAGCAGAAGUUUUAACCAUCUUCCCAUGGCAUCUGACUUGUUUGAGGAAGGAGAAUGCACCCAAGAGCAGAAGCAGUGAGGUUCACAGUGGGGAAAAUGAACCCAGCAGUCCAUCCUAUCCCAUACCUGCCUGAGUACGGGAAGAGGCCUCAUACAAGCCAGAAUGCAUCUGGGCUUGCAGCUCUUUUUAAUCAUAUUAAGUCCUAUUCAGAGUUAAUGGUGAGCUCAUUGAGAUAAGAUGGUCUCAGCAAUGCUGAAGGAGGGAUGAAGAGAAUUGGAAGGCAGAGCUAUUUCAAAACAGGAUUCUUCUUCUUUCCAUAACGCCCAAACAUGAAGACUUUUAAACUUCAUUAGAUCCUGCCAUCAAUGACUGAGCCUCCCUGAAAUCUUCUUAUCAGUUACUGCCAAGAUGAGAAGGAUAACAGGAAGGAGGAGUGCUUAAGUGGCUUUAAUGACAGUUAAUUUCAUCUAUUUAUCAAAUGACAGGUUGUUUUUUCCUCAAAACUCGAUUGUCAUGACAAGAUGCUUUUGCAAGUCGUCUUUGUAAAAUAAAACUGACAAUUUUUAGGCUACAAAGAGCUAUUGUAUCUUUCUAUACAAUGUUGUCAUUAUGGUAAACCUCUGGAAAGUCUUUAUUUUUGAAGUAAUUUAACUUGCAUACUUCAUUCAUUUAUUUGAAUGUCUGUUGAAUGCUAUGUGAAAAGUUUCUUGCCAGAGUUCUUUUAUUCAAUGGAAUAGUUAUUCUUACAAUGCUCAAUUUAUUAUUGUCUAAAUUACUGUUGCCUUAGCCCCCUGCAAAAAUGUUUCUUUUUGGUAAUUCUUAAACAAAUAAGGAAUGAAUGAGGUUUUGUCCCUGUCGUGUUUUGAUCAGCAUAUUUUGCCUUUCAGUAAAAGUGUCUUCAGUUUUCAAAAUGACACAAAGAAAGGUGCUUUCCUAUUCCCCCCCAACAGAACAUCUUUUGUGCAAUAAUUUUUUUAAUAUGUACACUGCCAAGAUGCAAUUACUGGAA